AAAUUGAACUCGCUGUGAAGAUGCAGUGUACCCGCGGCAAGACGGAAAGACCCCGUGAACCUUUACUAUAGCUUGACACUGAACACUGGUCCUUGAUGUGUAGGAUAGGUGGGAGGCUUUGAAGUGUGGACGCCAGUCUGCAUGGAGCCAUCCUUGAAAUACCACCCUUUAAUGGCUGGUGUUCUAACGUGGACCCGUUACCCGGGUUGCGGACAGUGUCUGGUGGGUAGUUUGACUGGGGCGGUCUCCUCCUAAAGAGUAACGGAGGAGCACGAAGGUUAGCUAAUCCUGGUCGGACAUCAGGAGGUUAGUGCAAAGGCAUAAGCUAGCUUGACUGCGAGAGUGACGGCUCGAGCAGGUGCGAAAGCAGGUCUUAGUGAUCCGGUGGUUCUGAAUGGAAGGGCCAUCGCUCAACGGAUAAAAGGUACUCCGGGGAUAACAGGCUGAUACCGCCCAAGAGUUCAUAUCGACGGCGGUGUUUGGCACCUCGAUGUCGGCUCAUCACAUCCUGGGGCUGAAGUAGGUCCCAAGGGUAUGGCUGUUCGCCAUUUAAAGUGGUACGCGAGCUGGGUUUAGAACGUCGUGAGACAGUUCGGUCCCUAUCUGCCGUGGGCGCUGGAGAAUUGAGGGGGGCUGCUCCUAGUACGAGAGGACCGGAGUGGACGCAUCACUGGUGUUCGGGUUGUCAUGCCAAUGGCAUUGCCCGGUAGCUAAAUGCGGAAGAGAUAAGUGCUGAAAGCA
rnacentral:rRNA from 1 species